UACGUAGGGUGCGAGCGUUGUCCGGAAUUAUUGGGCGUAAAGGGCUCGUAGGCGGUUUGUCGCGUCGGGAGUGAAAACCUUGGGCUUAACUCAGGGCUUGCUUUCGAUACGGGCAGACUAGAGGUAUGCAGGGGAGAACGGAAUUCCUGGUGUAGCGGUGGAAUGCGCAGAUAUCAGGAGGAACACCGGUGGCGAAGGCGGUUCUCUGGGCAUUACCUGACGCUGAGGAGCGAAAGCAUGGGGAGCGAACAGG
rnacentral:rRNA from 1 species